GAGAUGGGUCUUAUGAAGGCAGAGGUAGUGGGAGGCUUAGCAAGAAAAAUAAACAACUUCAACUGGCUGUUUUUCUUGCCAAUUCCUCCCAUUCCAAUGGUUUCAUGAGGUUACUC
rnacentral:pre_miRNA from 1 species